GUCCAGACUCCUACGGGAGGCAGCAGUGGGGGAUAUUGCACAAUGGGGGAAACCCUGAUGCAGCGACGCCGCGUGGGUGAAGAAGCGCCUCGGCGCGUAAAGCCCUGUCAGCAGGGAAGAAAAUGACGGUACCCAAGGAAUAAGCCCCGGCUAACUACGUGCCAGCAGCCGCGGUAAUGCGUAGGGGGCAAGCGUUAUCCGGAUUUACUGGGUGUAAAGGGAGCGUAGACGGCGGUGCAAGCCAGAUGUGAAAGCCCGGGGCUCAACCCCGGGACUGCAUUUGGAACUGUGCUGCUAGAGUGUCGGAGAGGCAGGCGGAAUUCCUAGUGUAGCGGUGAAAUGCGUAGAUAUUAGGAGGAACACCAGUGGCGAAGGCGGCCUGCUGGACGAUGACUGACGUUGAGGCUCGAAAGCGUGGGGAGCAAACAGGAUUAGAUACCCUAGUA
rnacentral:rRNA from 1 species